AUGAGGAUCCAUUACCUUCUCUUUGCAUUUCUCCUGGUGCUGCUAUCUCCACUUUUUCAUCUUUUAGCCAAAAAAAUCAAUAGUCAAUUAAGUUGCUGGAUGAAAUGAGGCAUAUGCCAGUAUAGGUGCUUUGGUAAUACUCAUAAGAUUGACAGUUGUGGAGCUCCUUUCCUCAAAUGCUGCAAGAGAUAA